UUUGCUCCUGGCUCAGAUUGAACGCUGGCGGCAGGCUUAACACAUGCAAGUCGAGCGGUAACAGGGGGAGCUUGCUCCCUGCUGACGAGCGGCGGACGGGUGAGUAAUGCAUAGGAAUCUGCCCAGUAGUGGGGGAUAGCCCGGGGAAACCCGGAUUAAUCCGCAUACGCCCUACGGGGGAAAGCAGGGGAUCUUCGGACCUUGCGCUAUUGGAUGAGCCUAUGUCGGAUUAGCUAUUGGUGGGGUAAAGGCCUACCAAGGCGACGAUCCGUAGCUGGUCUGAGAGGAUGAUCAGCCACAUCGGGACUGAGACACGGCCCGAACUCCUACGGGAGGCAGCAGUGGGGAAUAUUGGACAAUGGGCGCAAGCCUGAUCCAGCCAUGCCGCRUGUGUGAAGAAGGCCUUCGGGUUGUAAAGCACUUUCAGUAGGGAGGAAAACCUGUGGUUAAUACCCAUUGGGCUUGACGUUACCUACAGAAGAAGCACCGGCUAACUCCGUGCCAGCAGCCGCGGUAAUACGGAGGGUGCGAGCG
rnacentral:rRNA from 1 species